rnacentral:rRNA from 1 species
CCUACGGGUGGCAGCAGUGAGGAAUAUUGGUCAAUGGACGAGAGUCUGAACCAGCCAAGUAGCGUGAAGGAUGACUGCCCUAUGGGUUGUAAACUUCUUUUAUAUGGGAAUAAAAUGUUCCACGUGUGGGAUUUUGUAUGUACCAUAUGAAUAAGGAUCGGCUAACUCCGUGCCAGCAGCCGCGGUAAUACGGAGGAUACGAGCGUUAUCCGGAUUUAUUGGGUUUAAAGGGAGCGUAGGUGGAUUGUUAAGUCAGUUGUGAAAGUUUGCGGCUCAACCGUAAAAUUGCAGUUGAAACUGGCAGUCUUGAGUACAGUAGAGGUGGGCGGAAUGCGUGGUGUAGCGGUGAAAUGCUUAGAUAUCACGAAGAACUCCGAUUGCGAAGGCAGUUCACUGGACUGCAACUGACACUGAGGCUCGAAAGUGUGGGUAUCAAACAGGAUUAGAUACCCCUGUAGUC